rnacentral:rRNA from 1 species
AACGAACACUGGCGGCAGGCCUAAUACAUGCAAGUCGGACGGGAUUCACCAGCUUGCUGGUGAUGAGAGUGGCGCACGGGUGCGUAACGCGUGAGCAACCUGCCCAUAUCAGGGGGAUAGCCCGGAGAAAUCCGGAUUAAGACCGCAUGAGACAGUAAUGCCGCAUGGCACAGCUGUUAAAUAUUGAUAGGAUAUGGAUGGGCUCGCGUGACAUUAGCUUGUUGGCGGGGUAACGGCCCACCAAGGCGACGAUGUCUAGGGGCUCUGAGAGGAGAAUCCCCCACACUGGUACUGAGACACGGACCAGACUCCUACGGGAGGCAGCAGUAAGGAAUAUUGGUCAAUGGGGGGAACCCUGAACCAGCCAUGCCGCGUGCAGGAAGACGGCCCUAUGGGUUGUAAACUGCUUUUGUACGGGAAUAACCCCCGGUACGUGUACCGGGCUGAAUGUACCGUAAGAAUAAGGAUCGGCUAACUCCGUGCCAGCAGCCGCUGUAAAAC